GCCCAAGAUCCACCAGGCGAUGUGAGACUUGUCUCGCUAGCCUUUGUCAUUCCGACCCUGACUUAGCCUGUCAUUCACCAACCCUUGCUUAAUCUGUCAUUUUGACCCUGGCUCAGCCAAGACUUAUCUCACACUUUCGGCUGAUGAACUGGCCCUGAUACCAAAUUUAACGAUCUGACCCGCUAGCAAUAAUAACUUGUUGGGCCUAAACCACCAGCCCAAAAUGCUUAACCUUGGUUAUUAUUAUUCCAAUCACACACACAGCCCAGAGCCCAACAUCACCAGGCGAUGUGAGACUCGUCUCGCUAGCCUUGUCAUCCAGACCCUGGCAUAGCCAGUCACCUUGUCAUUCAGACUCUGACAUAGCCUAUCACCUUGUCUUUCAGACCCUGGCUCAGCCGAGACUUGCCGCACAUUUCUGGCUGGUGAACUGGCUCUAAUACCAAAUGUAACAACUCGGCCCGCUAGCAAUAAUAACUCGUUAGGCCUAAACCACCGGCCCAAAAUACUUAAGCCAAGUUAUUAUUACUAGUGUCUAAGUCUCUUAUAUACCCAAUCACAUCAUUUUUUAUAUCCGAU
rnacentral:lncRNA from 1 species